UAUAUUUUUGAGAGUUUUUUUGCUGUUAUUCGGUUAUAAAUUCACGUAGAGACUUGAAACUUGGUGAUAAUACUAAUAUUGAAAUUAUCUAGACGUGGUAAAAUUUUUAAAAUCAUCAGACGACUUUUUUCCCUUUUUUUAAUUAGCGUGUUUUGAAAUCAAAUUUAAACGAAAAUCGUAAAAAAAAUUCCGGCACUUUAAGUUAUGUAUUACUGA